AAAAAACGUGAAGUAGGUCGCGAUUUUAUGUACCUUGAGUACCUGAUACUUAAAAAUUGGCCGUCUAAGGAGCAGGUAGCAGGUAGGCAUGCGUUCUUAGUACAUACUAAACUACGCAAUCGGCUACAUUUCUUUCGUCAGAAAAUACGUGACGUCUGGGGGCCCUGGGAUCUUGCUCUAAUAAGGUUGAGUCGAGUCGAGUUAAGCUCGUGAGAACGACUACAGAUACGGAGGUUAAUUGCAACGUCACUAAGUUCACUGGCCAACACUAGUCUGUCGAUCAAAAAUUUUUGACGAUCGAAGAUCUCAAUUAAAUUGAGUGUAUAAUCUAUGUAUGAAGUGUUUAAUCUAUGAUCGAGACUUUUGGCGGGAACGCAAGGAGUGAAGUUGUGUGAUUUGUUUUAUUUUGUCUAUUUAGUGUUUCUUCGGGUUUAAAUGUGUAAUAACGGUGGUUUAUUAACUGUUUAAUAUCUGUGAAAGUGCACAAAUGUGGAAAAAUAAAACAAAGCCGCUGGACGUAACUUCUCGGGAUCCUCCAAAAAGUCCACUGAAAAAAUCUUAGUAAAUGACCACCAUUUUACUGAGAUUAUAUUUCAUCCCAUAUCAUCUCAUUUCAUUUCAUCCCAGUUGAUUAAUGUCUCAAAUUAAUCGUCUUCAUUUCAUUUCACUCCAUAAUAUCAUUUUUCAUAAAAAUAUGAAUAGAAAUUAAAAUAAGACAUGACUUAAAGGUCUCAGUUACCAGGUCAUAAAAUCCCUUAAAAAAAAAAACUAUGAUCGAAGAUAAUGUGCUCCACAGUUCCAUUACUUGAAUUACAAUGUGAGCAGGUUUUAUUCGCAAUAAUGCCGAGACGAGCAAGGUGUUACGGUACAGUAUUAUGACCAAAACGCAGUCUAUUUAUGAUAGUACUAAAGUCUGAGUAGCAUCUUGCAUACGAUCAAACCAAGGUCUUGCAGAAAUAUAGCUGAAAGUGUUGGAGAAUUACCGCAUAGUAGAUCUUGUGCUGUUGUUAAUGUUCCUCUUGGGGAUCUUUCUAUAUAAGGUCAGAGAUUAAAGAGGUGAAACUGUCUGCACUACUACGCCUUUAUCAAAUAUUUUACCAAGACAGGAUGACAAGGAAAGUGGUCUUUAAGAACUAGCAAACUCAGGAGAGUUGUUGGGCUUAAGUAUUGGGACAACACACUGUGUUUUCUAUGACUGUGGAAUAGAUUUAUUACGCCAAAGCAAAUUGAUAAUGUUAAAAAACAACUUUUGGGCAGAUACAACUAAGUUUUGAAUUACAAUGUAAGGAUAAUUAUCUAAGCCAGGAGUUGUAUUUCGUCUAGAGUGCAAACCUGUUAAAAAUUCAGACCAUGAAAAUGGAUCCAGUAAAAAUUUAGAAUUUCAGUUAUCAUUAUUGAUUUCAAAAAGAAUGUUCAGUUGAUCUACUUCAAUUAUGUUGCUAUUAUCUGAUAAUUUAUCCAAGAGUGGAGAUAUAAACUCAUCUGUAUAUGAUUUAUUCUUAGGUCUUAUGCCUUUGAACAUCUAUACAUGUAAAUAAAAUUAGAGUGUCUGUUUGUAAUAUUGAAAUAACCGCUUUUUACUACAUGCAUAUGAAUAUAUAUACGGUAAAUAAAUACACCAAAAUAACAUUUUUUACAAUUUUUGUCUGUCUGUUUGUUCCGGCUAAUCUCUGGAACGGCUGGACCAAUUUUGAUGAGACUUUCACUAAUAGGUAGUUGAUGAUAUAAGGAGUAACUUAGGCUACUUUCUUUAGACUAGCUUCGCCCCGCGGCGUCGCCCUCAGUUAUUGUCGUACCACGCGCAACAUUGUGGGACUCGCCUAUCAAUAAUAAAAUUUAAUAUUUCUGAAGCGAAGCGAGGGCGGGUCGCCAGUUUUUAAUAAAUUCCAAAUUUUACUUAUGUGAGUAUUUCUAUUAAAAGUGUUACAUGAGUUAUUCCAUCCAAUUUUAUUCUGUUCUGAAAUUGUUCUCUUUUUCUGGGCAUCUUUUCUUCUGUAAUUAAUAUAAUUUUCAAUAGUAGACUUUAUUCUAUAUAGUUUUAAUGCAUUAUAUGAAGCAAUAACACUUUGCUCACAUAUACUAUUCCAUAAAGGAGAUGGUGGUCUGCUUGUGAAAUUGCUUGUUUUAGUGAGCUUUGGAAUUGAAAUUUCUUUAAGAGUAUCUAAAUGAAAAUAGAAAUUAUUAUAGGUUGAAAUAGGAUCAAUCAAAUCAUAAAAAUUUAUUUUUGAAAGAGCUGUGUAUUGGGCAACAAUAAGUUUUUUUAUAUAUGAACCUAUCUACAGGGGAAUUGAGAUGAUAUUUAUCUUUAUGUUAUGAAAUUCUCUGUUAUUCUCUGUUAUUGUUGGAUAAUGAUAACUUUCCAUUGUAUCAUCAUGUACAGACAGACCAUUCACAUAGUGGUGCGAGGUUGCCACUGAUGAAGCUUACAUUAAUGGCAGAAGCAGUUUGUCUAGGGUGAUUUAUAAUUGUAGGUCUACCAUCAUUUAAAAUAUAUAAAUCUGUCUUUUUUUUAUUGCUUAGAUGCUUGGACGAGCUCACAGCCCACCUGGUGUUAAAUGGUCACGGGAGCCCCUAGACAUCUACAACGUAAAUGCGCUACCCACCUUGAGAUAUAAGUUCUAAGGUCUCAAAUAUAGUUACAACGGCUGCCCCAUCCUUCAAACCGAAACGCAUUACUGCUUCACGCCAGAAAUAGGCGGAGUGGUGGUACCUACCCGCGCGGACUCACAAGAGGUCCUACCGCCAGUAAUCAAUUAAAUUAAAUAAAUCCUGACCUCUACCUUUCGUUGACUGACAACUAAAUGCAAUAUGGUGAGCAUUAAAGUCACCACUCAUAAAUAUGGGCUUUGGUAGAUCAUGAAUAAUGUAAUGCAGUCUAUUAAUUACUCUACUAAUCUAAUACGCCUACUUGAAGGUGGACAGUAUAUACAGAGAAUUGUUAAACCACUAUGUCUAGUUGAUACAAAUACAGCAACUGUUUGAAUGUCUUCAUAUAAAAUCUGGUAUUUAAUAUAUUAUACUUCAGGUAUGGUUUUAUCAGUAUUUCAACUCCAUUAUAUGCAUUGUUUCAAUUUUUGUUAUAAAUAUUAUAUCCUGGUAUUUUAAAAUCAUUGUCUUCGUACCAUGCCUCAUUAAGAAGGCAAAUAUCAAUACUUUGUUGUUUAAAAAUUGGACUGUAAAAGGAACUAAGUGUAGAACUAAGCCCUACACAAUCCAUUAUGUUAAGUGUUUUAAUAAUGCAUCUUUAAUAGUUUUAAUAUUAGUGGGUGUCCUGUCAUCUUUAUUGGCUAAUUCCACCAACGUCUGCACUAGGGCCAUAAGUACAUUAUUGUUGGAAAUUAUUUGAGUUUUAAGGUCUUUAGAAUGGACUAUUUUAACUUUAUUUGCAUCUUGUAACUUUAUUUGCAUCUAUUUUGUAGUCGUCGUGGCCUAACGUCCGGUGCAUUCGUGUUGAAGCGAUGCACCGGUGUUCGAAUCCCGCAGGCGGGUACCAAUUUUUCCAAUGAAAUACGUACUCAACAAAUGUUCGCGAUUGACUUCCACGGUGAAGGAAUAACAUCGUGUAAUAAAAAUGAAACCCGCAAAAUUAUAAUUUGCGUAAUUACUGGUGGUAGGACCUCUUGUGAGUCCGCGCGGGUGGGUACCACCACCCUGCCUAUUUCUGCCGUGAAGCAGUAAUGCGUUUCGGUUUGAAGGGUGGGGUAGCCGUUGUAACUAUACUUGAGACCGUAGAACUUGUAUCUCAAGGUGGGUGGCGCAUUUACGUUGUGGAUGUCUAUGGGCUCCAGUAACCACUUAACACCAGGUGAGCUGUGAGCUCGUCCACCCACCUAAGCAAUAAAAAAAAAAAAACUUGUACAGACUUAUUUGCAGAGAUAUUUACAGACUUAUUUACAAUAACUAUUUACAGGUUGUGGUUUUGGUGGUGGGAGUGGAGAGAAAUCUGUUUCAUUGUUGGUAACUUGUUUUGUUAAGGCGACACUUGCAUAGGAUUUGUUGUUUUUCUUUUCAAUAAUCUUCUUUGUUUUAAUAGGACAUAAUCUAGAUAUCGCAAGAUGAGGCCCACUACAAUUUAUGCAGCUGAUUUCUGUUGGUUUAUUACAUUCUUUAUACAAGUGCUCACCUCCUCAAAUACUACAUCUUUGUUUACCAUUACAAAUCUUUGCUGAAUGAUGAAAUUUAAAACACCUAUAGCACUGUAGUAAUGGUGGGAUGUAUUCGAAAACUGUACGAGAAUAGAUCAUGUUGUACAUUAUUAGGUAGUACAUUAGAUAAAAAGGUGAUGCUUAGAGUCUGCAACGGAAUACGGUCUUAUCCUACUGUCUUUGAAAAUCCUUCUUAUUGCCACUAUUUCAUAAAUUGAAGAAGUCUUGAGUAAAGUUCUUUGUUAGAUGUAUUCGCUGGAACAAAUCUAAUGAUGCCGGUUUUUUCAAUUUGCGCUUCCGGUAUGAGCGUUCAUUUCAUAUUUUGUGAGGAAAGUGGUGUUAUUAAUAAAAUUAUUGGGCGUAUUAUAUUGCUUGAAAAUAGCGGCUAUUUUAUUGGCAUUCACCCUCUGAAUAUCCGUCACACCUUUUAUGUCCAUUGCGAAAAUAUGAUUUAAAUAUAUAGGGCUCUUGUUGCCUAAUCUCUCGUCGUUAGUGGAUUCCACGUACACUUUAAAGUCUGUGUUGAUUGAGUUUUCCGGAUAUUAUCUUUUGUAAUUCGGUUUGUAGUAAAGCAGAUACGCAUCUCUCUCAUCGCCGCAGUCCGACCGUCCAGAGCCUACGCCUUCUCCUUCAUCCGUAGGCCGUGGCGGUUUUAUUGAGGCAGGCGGGUGAGACCCGCCCGCCUCGUUUACCUCCAUUGAUAUUGAGUUAAUAGCAAUAUUUAAAUUCACUUAAACUAUAAAAAAAUCACAAUAGGAAAAAAUUUUUAAGCACUGUAGGUAUAUGCAUCUCGCCGUUUUUGUAAUUAUUUAAAUCUUAUCAAUGAUGACCAAAAUAGUAUUAAUUCUAAAACUUCGCGACCAUUUGUUUGUUGCAUCUCUUUAUCUAAUUUCUCGCCAGGAAGUAGCUUUUUAUAGCGUCUAAAAUCUCUUUCAUAUUCACAAGAAAUGGACAAUUCUUCUCUCUACCUUUCAAUGGGCGUUGUUCUCAAACUCAUCAAAAUUAUUACGUAUUUCGCCAAUAAAAUGUAUUAGUACCUUAGAGAGUUCUAUGACAACGGUAAUGUCAAUUUCCACAAUCUGAAGCUUUUUACUUGUGGUGUUAAUGCGAUCCAGUAAACAUCCCCAGAAAACAGUCAUGUCGGCUGUUUCAAAACGUUCCAGUUUCAAACGAAUACCUCUGGCUUCGCAUAUAAUGGCUCUCUUCUGUUGUGUAUAAUUUUCGGUGGAAACUAACUCUUAAUGGAUUUCAUUCCACGAUUCGCGUAAACUUUUGUAUGCGUCUGCACGAGCUGACCAACGAGUGCUUGAUAAAUUUUUGAUAGUGAAAUGGGUUUGAAGAAGUUUCUAACGCUGAGUUGAUGCUGCAAAAAAACCCCGCCAUACGUUAUAAUAAGUUUUUUGAGAAGAUUGAGGCCACCCCUAAAUCUGGCCGCCCUAGGCCCGGCCUACCAGGCCUUAGGGUAAAUCCGCCACUGGGGCACUGUUCUGGAUUGCUGGAGUGUAAGACACACAGACACAACGAACAAGUUUGAAUAGCAAAGUUCUUGCGAAAACAGUAUUUUUGAAUAAAUCGUUAUUUUUUACUGUUGCGCGCGCGGUGCGAAGCGUCGACUCACUUCGUCUUCUUCGCCCGUUAGGAGGCGAGUUAUAGAUCUUCACAAAGCCGAUAGAUGGCGUGGUUGAGGAAAAGGGAUUUUUAGUCGGUUUCCUAACACCAAAUACUUCACUACAUAUUGCCAUCUGUUGGCAAUAUGUAGUGAAGUAUUUGGUGAAGUGGUCUACCAGAAGAUAUAGAUAUAUUAUUGUAGAGCAAGACCCACCAAAUCCACCAGUGGUAUCUAUAGAGACAAUUUCAAAAGAGUAAGUUGCUGGACCUAGAUGAUACAUCAAUCCAUAUUUAAUUUAAGUUCUAGAUUUAUUUUUAAUGCAUAUUUCACAGUUAUCACAGAUUUUUUUAAUAUUAAGUGUUAAAUUAUUUGCUGAAUAGAAUGGUUUGAUCAUAUUUUCAGUUUGUCUUAUUCCUAUAUGGCUUAUUUUUGGUAUCUGUUAUUGAGGCUAUGCGAAUCACAUUUGUUUUCGGAUCUUCACGUGGUUUUACAACCAAUUCAAAUUCAAACUUUAGUCAAUGUUGUUUUGUAAUGAGUUGGAUGAUGAAACAAAAAACCAGGUUCAAUGUACAAACUGAUCUUUUUUUUAAUAAAUUUUACUGGCUUGGAAGCAACGCCCUUUAAGCCAAAUCAGUAUUUCUGUUUUUUUUCAUCACUUCGUUUCACAAUAAUUAUAUUGAAUUCAAUGUGUUUUAAUGAAUUUGCAAUAUGAAUGAAGUUUUAAAUAUCGCAUAUAUCACUCGCGAAACAAGCAAUGAGGUUGAACAAUUGAACAAUUAAGUAAUGGAUUAUGUCACAAAUAUCGAGUUGCAAUAUGUACAACUGUCAUUUCCUAUUAAAUCUAGAGAUGGGCUUAAAUGUAGUGUUCUUAACUAUUCAGUUGCAACGGUCGACCAAAGGAGAUUUUUCAAAUUGGUGUGUAGCUGAGCGAGUUUGGUUUUCGUGACUUUAUAUCCUUGGUUGGCCAAGACUAAAUAAUGCACGGCAAAUAUUUUCCUUAAAUGUUGUUAUUGUAUAUUUUUUUGAUGUCAGAUUUAAUUUAAAUUUUUUGGACAAUAUAAAUGCAUUGAUCAAAUAUGUGCAAAAUAAAAGCUCAAUAGCUAAUUUUUGGAACCAAUCUACCGUCAACAUCUCAACAGUGGCUACAAAUUGCGAAUACUUUUUUGAAAGGUGAAAUUUUCCGUAUUGCUUAGGAAGUAUAGAUGGAAAGCACGUUACACAUACAAAAGCCAAUUGUUAGCGGCAGUGAAUAUUAAAACUAUAAAGGAUUUUACAGCGUUGUACUUUUAGGGUUGGUAGAUGCAGAAUAUAGCUUUUUAUUCGUAAACAUUGGGUGCCAAAGACGCAUAAGUGACGGUGGCGUUUUCGCAAACACAGAAUGAAUGAAACAAUGAAUGAAUAUAAUGCUAUGUACAUUUCCCGGCAAAUGUGUACUCUUGCGUUCACGUUCUGGUAAAUGUAUACUUUUACCUUCAUGUUUAAGAAAAGUUGGACUACAAAUAAAUUAAAAAUGUUGUUGCAAUAAAAAAAUAUUUAUUUAAUUAAACAUAAUACAAAAGGCUUUAAUAACGAAAAUAAUUUGAUUAAAAAAUGUAAAUGACAAACAAAACAUACUUUUCUAUGCAUAUAUAAUAUGUCGUAGGUUAUGAUUCCAAAAUUCAGAAAUACAAUUUUCGUCCUAGUUUUUUAGGACCAAUAAAUACAAUGGGAAUCAAACAAAUAAUAAUAAUAACAUACUUUUCUUUAUUAUAGCAGCUACAUUUUAUAAAACUAUAACGGAACAUAUAGAAAGGACAUCGGGCACCUUUGUAUGGGACACUUACCUACAGCGAACAAAAAUGAAAUUAGGUCUGGUGGAUAGGCAAUUGAAUCUAGUUUACAAUGGUAUAGGUCCCAUAUCUGUGAGCCGUGGGAAUAAGGAGAAACUGGACAUUAAAAAAAUAUAUUUUUUUUUACUUUUUUGUGCAAUAAUUCAAGAGGAAAAAAGGAAUAAAAAAAACAUGUUUUUCUCUUUACUUUUAUUCUGCCGCAUCCAAAUCUACAAGAGUUUCGUCUAAAAACGCCGCAGGUGCGUGAAAUUCUUCUUGAUAUAUAGCCCAAGAUAAAAAGUAUACCACACUGGCGAUGUGCGCGCAACUCCCUACAGUGCGGCGGCCGUGUAUACAGGAACAGUAAUAACCUUCGAGGCUUUGUCUUCCUUGCAAUGCCGGAUUUAUUAGUAUAUAUGUAUAAUAGCGUUUUGCUCUUAUGUGACGAGACUGUAUUCUGCCUCGUAUUAAUAUUUUAUUUUCUACCAACUCUCUGCGAUGGUAUAAUUCCAUUAUAUACACUCCGUUUGGCCGCAUGUGUUCAUGGCAAUAAGAUUUGGCCAAUUUCAAAUGGUAUAUUCCCAAGGUAAAUAAAAAUAGCUCGUCGUAAGUUAAUUGUGGAAAAUCUCUUAAUUCGGGAUUGUUUGCCUCUAUCGGCGUGAAUGCAACUCUUUGCCUGUUUAAGUUGUUUCGAAUCACGUAAUCAGCCAAUUCAUUUUCUCUAUUUAUAUUCUCAUUUAUUAUAUUUAUAAACUCUGCGGCAUGAGCGUUAUCUCUAUACGGCUGAUAAGUGGCAUUGAUAAGUGCUGCAGUUAUUUUAAAAUCAGUCAUCAUAUUUGUAAGCGCUACAUUAAAAUAAACAUGGCGGAAUAUUUUGAAGUCUUUUUUAAAGCGACCAUUAAUAGUCUCUACCACCCAACGACACAUAGUGAUUAGACGUGAUUUAUUUGCAUCUACUGUGCUCAACUGCUCUCCUCUCGUCCUUGUUGGCGGCAUAUGUGCAUCAUAUCCAUGCUCUUCGAUGGCAGGGAUAGAGUCUCUAAAGCCGCGGUCCAAUAUGAAAAUAUCGUUGGCGUUCAGAAACCAAUACCAAACUUCCUCCUCCAUCAUGUGACGCAUUAUUUCGGCAUCCGUAGUAAUAGCUGGAUACGGGCCUAAUACGUCUACAAUAUAGCCGUCUGUGCAUACAAUUAAAAAGGGUUUUAUUAAGUUGCGGAAUUUGUGCAGGCUAUACGUUCUUCUCUGAAAAAGGAAGUUGGAGCUUUUUUGCACGUAUAUGUAUGUUCCAUCACACACAAGAAUGGCCGCAGGUUCAUUCUGGUUACCUCCAAAAAUAUGACUCGGGAUGGUUAAGUUGCGAGCUACUACAUCUUCUCUCGUCAUGUGAUCCAAACCCAGAUGGCGGGGAACAAACUCUUCAGAUAAACAUUCUCGAGCUAUUUUUAGUUUUCGUUCCAAUGUUCUUCUCGACAUAUUAAACAUAGAAGCUAUACGCUCGUCUGGUUCACCUGUUCUUAUUUUAACUAAAUACAGUCCCAAAACAGUAGCAGAACUGUUGGUUCUAUCACGUAGAGAAGAUGUUUGAUUCAAAAUAUUAUUGAAUUGAAUUUUAUCCAUACCCGUAUAAAAAUGUAGUUCAUUGUCAUCUAUCUCCUCAACAUUUUCGAAGUCCAACUGAGUUCCUCGUUCCAAUCUCCAUUCAUACAGCUCGAUAAUAUCGAGAACAUGAGCACUAUUAAAGUUUUCAUGAAGAGGUAUUUGCUCAUUAAGUGGUUCUUGAACUUGCUGAGGUAAUGGAUCGUCUACUGGCCGGACUUGCACUGCGCGAUAAAAUCUCAGCCAGCAAGGGUUGCAUAUUGAUAGUGUUCCAUCAAAAGCAAUCUGUAACAAGUUUAUUUUACGGUUAUUAAUUGAUAAUCAUAAUAAUAAAGGUCACAACGAAAUACACUAUGACCAAGGAAUGAACAGUUUCAAUGGUUGAAAAGGACUGGUAUGACGUCACAGCUGGCUGACGUGGCUGUGAGUACUUAUUCAUACAAUGUAGUGUAGUAAUAUUUUAGGGGGCAUUCUAACCGUCAUAAACAACUUUUUCUAUGGAACCAAUAUGGAAAUCCCGAAAGAAAAAAUAGCUGCCUAGCUUUUGUUACAGGAUGUAUAUAACAGGAAUGUUUAAUAUAUAUAAUAAAUAUUGAGAAACUUA